ACAUUUAUUAAAGUAUAGUGCGGAAUAGUGUAAGGAAAAGAAGUGACACGUUAAAAUUACUUGUUUAAAAAAAUAGAAGACAAGUGACAUAUUAUUAAAAAUUAUUAUCAAGCGACACAGUAGCGUUGCAACGCCGAAUGCAUUGAUUAGUAAAAAAAAACUCAGAUUUGUGACACUUAACGAUCGCCAAGUAAACUGUGAUUUAUCAAUCAAAAGUAUACAACUGCAGGGUUUUGUACUUGUUUACGCGAUACAAGUAACUACUUCAUUGGAAAGAUGCUUUCUCUGUGUAACUCGAUUUCACGAUCUAUUAUGUUUAGAAUUGUAAAUCGUCACAGCUAUUUACGAUGUCUUUCUAUAUCACACACUAAUUUUGAAGGACGAUGUCAACAUCGCAAGUCUAACAUCCAAACGAAAGCUAAUCUUUCACAAGCAAUCAAAGUUGCUCAUAUGUAUAAUCCCGGCGAAUUUCCAUUGUCGGA